rnacentral:tRNA from 2 species
GCCGGAGUGGCGGAAUUGGCAGACGCAGGAGACUCAAAAUCUCCCGCCUUAUUACAAGGCGUGCGGGUUCGAGUCCCGCCUCCGGCA